AUGUUUAUACAACCAUGGUGGAACCAAUUCCCUACCAGUACUGGCAGGAAAACAGUAAGGAGAUGCUGGGAGUUGUGCCCCUGCAUGCACCUGGGAGUUGUACAGCUCAUUACCUUAACAAGGGAAAGCUGUGAAGUAGGAGAGCAGGUGUUUGGCUGGAGGAAGGUAUCAUUUUUUACCCUUACCAGAAAGGAGGUUGCUGCCUGCAUGCAGCUUGGGACCCAAGAACAGUGUAGACAUGGAGGGAAGUGCUUGAGGAGAGUGUGCUGUGACCAUAGGUGGUAAGCAAUGUCUGCAGGAACACAGGCACUCUGCAACUCCAUCUGUUUUUGCAAAUGCUUCUUGUGUGGAAAUGGACAUUUUCAAACAGCAUGGAUACUGGCUUUCCUUUCCUGAAGUGGUUGCAACUGGCACCCCAUAGCCUGGCUGUCCUGGGUAUGCUUGUCCAGUGCAGGAAAACCAGUGCACGCUUCUGUUGUAGCCAAGCUCCAGUGGGGGUACAGACCUUGCCUACAGCAGCAGGUUUCCUUCAGCUUUCAUGGUGCUCCAUGGACCUCUUGGUGCCGUAGGCAGCAGUGUUUUACUGGAUUCAUUAUCUCAGUUCUAAUAGCUUCUAAUAGCAGUGGACUAAAAUAUUUUUACUGGGAAGUUUCAUUCAAAUGCAAGAUGAUUUGGACCUUCUCUCCUCAGAGGCAUGUCUUUCUUCCUUCAGUGUUAUAUGGCAAGCUGUAAAAAUGCCAUUUUUUUUUUUCCAUCACUGGAAGCACUGAAGUUCAUGUGCUCCCCUGGAAGAAUAUAAAUCAGGCAUUUCCUAUAAUCUGUGGUAAGAUCUCUUAUAACUAUGGGAUGCAUUCCAUAGAUAGAGCAAACAAAGUUGUUGAAGUCAUAAGCUUGCUUCCACAUGAAAUGCACCUGAUAAAUUAUAUUAUUACUAUUACUUUACCCACUUAAGCUGGAAGAACUGGAUCCAUUUUUAACAAAUUGGUUCAAUUAAUUUUGUCUUGGUUCUAGAAUUACUAAAAUCUGGCAGCAGAAUUGCUGCCCUGUUUUUUGGGAUUACUAAGUUAUUGGAGCUCACCACAUUUGUGCAACCACAUUUCCUAGUAGGCUGAGGUUGGACAGUUGGUUUGUGCGUAUGAAAAAUGUUUUCGCCCUUGUCAUUUCUCAGAUUUUGCCGUAUAUAUCAAAUUGAGUCUAGCAAAUGAAGAAAUGGGGAAAAAAAAUACUGAUCUGGUACCAAUUCAUGUGUAGGUAUCCAUGCUCGAUUUCAAGUCUCUGAUGCUAUUGUCAGAAUCUGCUUUCACAUGCUAGAAACUGGGCUACAAACUAAAAUUUACAUGCUCUGUUUGCCAGCUGUCUUAUUCUUAUAUACAAAACCAGGGGGUAAGAAAAUACUUGAACUAGAAUAUGAUUUAUUAAAAAGAAAUCAUGAAAAAAUUGUAAGGAAUUUUUUAACCUAUAAAAUGUGUAUGUGGUUUCACAAUCCAUGCACAAUUUAAAGUCUAGAAAUAGUUUAAUAUAGUAGCAUAAGAGAAACAUUUUUCUGAAAGCUGUCUAUUGAUUUUACUGUAAUUUACAAGAUGAAGCACAAAAAGUUAUAAAGUCGAUUGAAGCUAUCAAACUAUUUUCAACAGAAACAUUUGUCUUCCUGCAGGAUGAUGCACCCAUUCAUUUCCAUCUUGAUUAAUGAACCUGUGGUUGUCUGCAGCCAAUACAAUGGAGAAGCUGGGUGUAUUUAACUGUUGACUUAAUUGUUGCUAAUGGAACAUAGGGCUAGAUCCAAAAAGGUGAAGGAGAGGUGGCUAAAUCUCCCCCAGAUUCCACCUCUAAAAUUAGGCAUUCAAUAUCCUGUAUGUACCUAAGGUUUGGCUCAUAAAGCUACAAUGAGUGCAGUUUCACGUGUCUACGACAGCUGCCAUCUUGGCUGAGCUGUGCACUUUAAUGUGUCUCAUACCUAAGCUUGGUAGGAUUCACAGGCCUGGCAUCCCUGAGGAGCCCAAAUUCCCUGAGGAGCACAUGUUGUUAGCACAUGUACUGAGAGGAAAGAAAUGAAUGGAGGACUUCAGUUUCUCUCCUCCUGUCACACAAUUCAUAAAGUGUGACCAAGAAGGAGAAUGUACUGAGCUUGGUGAUGAAAAGUCUGUUUCUGGGAGGAGCUUUAGAUUUGCGUGCUGUAGUCCUGCCAUCACAGCACCGUAUGAACUGACUCUACAAUGUAGGGGGGGGGGCAAAAAAAAAAGCAGGAUUGGUUCCUGCAGCAGAACCAGAACAAGAAUCCAAGAAUCCACUCUGCAGCAUGGCAGCUCUGAGCACCUCACUCCUGCUCUCCUCUAGCCAGCCUCCCUCGACGGGCCACUGACUGCCCUCGGGCCGAGGUGUGGAGGGUUCGGAGUUUGCCACUGCUUGGGUGAAUGCUCCAGCAACUGGACUGCAGUAUAAAACAGUCAGGAACAAAAUCUGUUCUGGCACCUGUCAUUGAAGAAGUUAUCUCCAACUCUGAUCAUAAUGGUGAGUUUGUAAGAGAGAGGGGCUUUCAGACAUGUCUUGGCUUCAGCGUGUGCCAUAGAGGGGUUUGUCAGCCUGUAGCCGAGGGCAGUUAGGGUUUUGUGUUCAAAGCCCUGACAUUCAGCAUAGUAGCGCUAUUUUCUCCUCAUAGGUUUUUGAUGGUGGUUCUGGAUAGGUCAGGAUGCCUCUCAAAGUUCUAUGCUAACUUCAGCUGAGAUGUAUUGCAGCCUGAAGGCAAUGAAUAUGGUUGUCUCCACAAUUACUGUGCCAGUACCCAUGUACUAGCCUUUUUAACAAGAUAGCCGUGCAUAGCUAGAGCAGAGACUGGGUCCUCGCUCUCACCCAUUUGCAGUGUGACUUUGAGCAGCACAUUUGAGCUCUGUGGUUCACUGCUGUCUUUGCUAAAUUGAGACCAUGCUCCACAGUUCCUGUGCAACAUAAAAUUUUAUAUGAGACAAAUCAACUAAUGUUUUAUGACAUGAAAUAUAACAUAAACAGUUGGCACAUUUUCCACAUCAUUUUUGUUUUCAGGGAGGCAUUGCAAGAACAAUGUGGGGAAACUCCUACUGCUAUAGUUUUUUGUCACUUUUGUCUCUCUUUGAAGGACUGGAAAAACCCAUUUUGCUAUGGUUUAAACACUGAUUUUGUCAUCUUCUAAUUUUCUUCUUGGUAAUGCUACUAAACAAGUAAAUGGGAAGCAAGAGAUCUGCUGUUCUAACUUCUUUGCUAGGUGAAGACAGAAAGCUCUUUACAUGCAGUUUGUAAACUUCAUGUAUUUCUAUGAUCGUACCCAAAUUUCAUAAAGUAACAGGAUUAGAGCACCAUUCCUGCAGAUACACCAACACUCUUUAUUGAAACUCCAUUCAAUUUAUCUGCUGCAGGUUAAGAACUGAUCACUGCUCCCAAGACUAUUUGAAACACUGUGGCCACUGACCUCAGUUGUUACUACCCUCGUUUCCCAAUAUGCCACAGAUUUGUACUUACACUCUCUCUGGGAGCUCUUGAAGCUGCAGGAGUCUGGACGUGACAUUGGCUCUGAUCCCAGUGCCCUCACACAUGACCCCAAUCAGCUUCGCUACAAUUCUCAUGAUACCCACAGGGUUUCCAGAUGGAAAGAGAAAAAUAAACGUUAUCAGCACAAUCCA
rnacentral:lncRNA from 1 species